GCCAAAUUUAGAUAGUCUCUCAGCGCAUCGACUCACAUACAGGGCAAAAGUCGAAAUGCUGAAGAUGGACAACAGCAUUGAGGUUGCAACGUUGCGACAGACCGCAACGAGGAGAGGCGCCAGAAGACAACGGCGACAGAGAGCGCCAUGAGAACAACGGUCUUGGCGAUCGGUCUCAGCAACUCGCCAAACCCUCAAUCGCCAAAAGCUCCGGUGGGCUCUUAUGACACUUCAAGAUCCAAAGGCUAGUUUAGCUAACCUGAUUUACAUUGGAUAUACUGGUGAUCCUGCUUCAGUAUUUCAUGUAACAAGAAAAAGGCGUUUGGAUCGAAAAAAGCUAUGUACACAAAGAAAUGUUUUUCAAUGCUUUGUCUUUGUUCCUAAACAUGCAGGGAAAACCACAUUGCUAAAUUCCUUUAUUGGAAGGUGCAGGAAACUGCUCACAAAGUUUGUUAUCUUUUAACAUGGCUUCUUAAGGAUUAUAUCUUUAUUUCAUCCUUUGUCACGCGGGACAUUAUCUGAGAAGUACUUCUACAACAUCUUAUUAUAAGUAUUCUAUGGUAAUUUUGAUAUGAUGAAUCAAGUUAAAUUAGAUUCUGUUGUGCUUUGAUCUCCGUAUGUCUAAGUGUGUAAAAAUUUAGGAGCAUAGGAAGUCGAACGAAAGACGUAGCUAGCGAGAAUGAUAGUACGGAAGAGAAUCGACGGGCUCGGUGCACCCGAGGGACGAGGUGCUGUGGAAGACUACGUUGGCGGACGAGAAGGAGACAGAUGACGUUUCUGAGGGACGAGAAGCCGGAGUGGAAGGUUGCUCGAGAAGGUCGGAAGAUGGGUUCGAGCCCUAUUCCGGAUUGCCGAAAUCACCUGAGUAAGCGGAGUCGGAACGGAAAACCCGGACUCAAGCAAGCAGAGCUGGAGCGGAGUCCCGGACCAAAAAAGUCAACGAGGUGUUGACUUUUGGGUCUGCGCGGCCGAAGCUAUUUUGGGCGCUCGGACCACCUGGGGCAACCAAGGUGCCCCCGUCAUGCGCCUUGGUCGAGCCCAGUUCAAACCGAUGAGGGCGUCCGAAAUCCCUCCGAGCGCCCGAACCAAAAAACUUAUCGAAACGCGCACUGUCGCGAUCUGGUGCGACGAGAAUAAAAUUUCAUCCCCUUCCAGGUGCCUAAAACUCUUCCAGGCGGCCCAAUCAGGGUUAUAAAUAUAGUCUUGAACCCAUAAGCUCAAAUCAACACUUGUAAUCAAUUCUAAUUGAGUUUAGCUUUGUAGUUGUGAGCUUUGACUCCUGUAAAAGGCUUCUCUGUCCGAAGGAGAUUUUAGUGAGCUUUAAUUUCCUUGGAUUAGUAAUCUGCUAAUUGCAAACCAAGUAACUCUUUCUGUGCCUCUUUCUUUUAGCUUUUUAAUUCUCGGACUUACAAAUUUCGGAGAAAAGGUAACUAACUAAGAUUCGCUAAGGUACGUGUUUAACACAUUUCCUAGAACUUCUGAAUGGGUAUCCUUAGUAGAUGGGUAUUACAUCUCUAAGAAUCUAAAGGUAAUUACUUUAGAAGAGUUAUUUUCUACAUUUGAAGUUCAUAAAACUAGAUAUGCAGAUUUGAAGAAGGAGCUCAAGCACAACAUUGCCCUAAAGGCAAAAAUGAAUGAACCAGAUUUUGAAACAUCCCUCGACGAUGACGAAACUACGUUCAUGGUAAGGUAAUUUAAAAAGUUCUUUAAAACUAAUAAAUUUAAUCAAGUGCAGGGUAAAAGAAAGAAAAGAAAGAUAAAAUGCUACCACUACGACGAAGAAGGGCACGUCAAAGACAAUUGCCCAAAGUUGAAGAACAAGGAGAAGAACAAAAAGCCAAUUCAAACAAAGUAUCGAAAUCUAAAGGUAACGCGGGACGAAACGUUGUCCGAAUCGGAAAUCGAAGCCCUCGCUGGACUUGCACUAAUAGCAACUCACCAAGAAGAAGAAGACGAAGCAAGCUCAUCUGAAAUGAGUAUCGAGAGCAUUGAUGAAGGACGAGCAAUGUCGGAAGGAAGCGACACUAGGAGGAGCUUCAGACAAAAGAGAGGUAAGUCAGGUACGAUCUCUACCUCCUGACCAGUUAUUUAAAUUUAUUAAAAUUUUAUCAAAGAAUUCUUGUCAAUUAGAAUUAGAGAAUAAGAAGUUAUUGAAAGAAAAUAAUGAAUUAAAAGUAGCAUUAGCAACAUCUUGUCGAUUGGAAUAUUUCAACAAGAUAAAAAUGGAAAAUAAAAAAUAAAAAAUAGAAAUAGAAAAUCUAAAGAAUUAUGCAUGUUUGAAUAUAGCUAUUUCUAAUUUAAAAAAUUAUCAAGGACUAAACUGACACUUUAGAUAUCAUAAGGGUCAAAUCAAAAAAUUAUCAACAAAAUAUAUCCCUGAGAAAUUUUUGAUUAA